UGGCCCAGAGGAAGCCGUGGCUGGUGGGGCUGGGGGCCGCACUGGCCGCCCUCUUCCUGCUCUUCGUCCUCACCGUGGUCUACGCCGUCUGGUGCAGCGAGUCCCGCGACAGCAAUAAAGAGGAGGAAGAGGGGAGUGUGAGAAAGGAGGAGAAAGAAGCAGAGGGCCACCAGGGGCUGGAGCUGGAGGAGAGAGAGGGGCCUCCAAACCAUGAAAGAGUGGUGAGCUCCUCCGAAUGAAGGCUUCCCACCUACCUCCUCCAGGCAGGCCUCCAGGGAUGCCCAGUGCCUGCUCUGUACUCAGCAAGCAAAGUCCUGGUCCUGGGGCCAGAAGAUCAUUCCGUACGGGGUUCGGGGUGAAGUGUCCCUGAAUGAGGCCCACCCCAAGUCCCCUUCGGAGGCUCCUUUGCAUUUACCUGGAUGUUUACACGUCCCCUUUCCCAGCGCAACCUGCCCGAGCCCCCUUUUCACUGGCAAGAGGGACGUGGGCAGAGUGCAAUGGGCCCUCCAGUUUUCACAGCUUGAACUUUGAGCCGAAGCCGCACAAGGCGGUUUCCUGGGAGACAAGCCCCCCUGUCACCCUGUGCCGAGUUCUGGGUCAGUGUCCGCGAGCAGGGGCUUCCAGCAGGUGCCGAGGCCGGGAGGACGCGCGGCGUCAUCGCCCCGUCUUCCUGCCCCGCACCCCUCCCGGUGGCGGCUCCGUCCUUGCUGUGUGGCCCUAAGCAUGUAACCUAACCUCUCUGUGCCCAAGGGUCCCGUCCUGUGAAAGAGGGAGGAAAAUAACUUGAUCGUUUAUAAAUUGUCAUGAGGAUUCAGUGAAAUGAUGGCCACAAAAAUCCCGAGCACAGAACCCGGAACCCAAAGGUGUCUAAUAAAUGCCGGCUUGCUGUCACGCUGCAACGGUGUGGAUCCGGCGGGGCGCACGGGGAUCUAGAAGCACAGGUGUGCGUCCAGACCGCGGCUCCGAGUCCGGAGGAUCC
rnacentral:lncRNA from 1 species